UAACGCCCUGUCAACACGGGAAAAUACAAGGAGAGCCUACAUUCUAUGCUCUCCUAUGUGGUGUGAGAAAGAAUGAUGCCAGGCGUCUUUGGGCUGAGGGAGACAGGUGGUGGAAGAGCAGGCGGUGUGGGAGACAGGUGGUGGGAGAGCAGGCAGUGUGGGAGACAGGUGGUGGGAGAGCAGGCAGUGUGGGAGACAGGUGGUGGGAGAGCAGGCGGUGUGGGAGACAGGUGGUGGGAGAGCAGGCGGUGUGGGAGACAGGUGGUGGGAGAGCAGGAGGUGUGGGAGACAGGUGGUGGAAGAGCAGGCAGUGUGGGAGACAGGUGGUGGAAGAGCAGGCGGUGUGGGAGACAGGUGGUGGGAGAGCAGGAGGUGUGGGAGACAGGUGGUGGGAGAGCAGGCAGUGUGGGAGACAGGUGGUGGGAGAGCAGGCGGUGUGGGAGACAG
ensembl:lncRNA